rnacentral:rRNA from 1 species
CACGUAGGCACCAAGCGUUGUCCGGAUUUAUUGGGCGUAAAGAGCGUGUAGGCGGCCAUACAGGUCCGUUGUGAAAACUCGAGGCUCAACCUCGAGACGUCGGCGGAAACCAUCUGGCUAGAGUCCGGAAGAGGAGAGUGGAAUUCCUGGUGUAGCGGUGAAAUGCGCAGAUAUCAGGAAGAACACCCGUGGCGAAGGCGGCUCUCUGGGACGGUACUGACGCUGAGACGCGAAAGCGUGGGGAGCGAACAGG